rnacentral:tRNA from 1 species
GCCGACUUAGCUCAGUAGGUAGAGCAACUGACUUGUAAUCAGUAGGUCACCAGUUCG